rnacentral:tRNA from 1 species
AGGGCUAUAGCUCAGUUAGCUAGAGCACCUCGUUUACACCGGCAAAGUCUACGGUUCGAAUCCGUAUAGCCCUA